rnacentral:rRNA from 1 species
AACACGGACCAAGAAGUCUUGAAUGUGCGCAAGUCAAAGGGCUGUCUAAACCCCAAGGCGAAACGAAAGUGAAAGCUUUCAUUGGGCUGAUCCGGUUCGGGGUGCGCGAGUCGGGGGCCGGUAAAUAUCUGUUGUUAGCGGCUACGUUCCCGCGGUCGUUCGGUCCCAAUUGUUUUUCCACACCUCCUUUCUCAUCGCGCACCUUUACGUUUAAGCGAUGAAAGGGGAGAGUGUGGCGGGCAGUGGGCCCGGCGUCGUAGGUCGUCGUCGUUAACGCCAUAACAGGCCAGAAGCCAUGUAGGCCCUUCGACUCUCCCCCCGAUUCGUCACAAUUUCGUGGACGGCGCAAGCCCGGGGCUCGCAUCGCUCCUCUCCUAUCAUCGUUCGAAUCACGCCCGAUUCGAUCGCGGAGACGUGCAGCGGGUACCUUGAGCGCACAUAACAGGACCCGAAAGAUGGUGAUCUAUGCGUGGCGAGGAUGAAGCCAGGGGAAACUCUGGUGGAAGUCCGUAGCGAUUCUGACGUGCAAAUCGAUCGUCGGAGCUGCGUAUAGGGGCGAAAGACCUAUCGAACCAUCUAGUAGUG